GGGCAUAUGGCGGAGUCUGGUCUAACGCGUUGUGCUUAAGACACAAUGUUCCUGGAACGCGUGGGUUCGAAUCCCACUGUGCCCA
rnacentral:tRNA from 1 species